AGCAACGCGCAGAACCUUACCAGCCCUUGACAUGGUCACGACCGGUCCAGAGAUGGACUUUCCCCGCAAGGGCGUGAUGCACAGGUGCUGCAUGGCUGUCGUCAGCUCGUGUCGUGAGAUGUUGGGUUAAGUCCCGCAACGAGCGCAACCCUCGCCUUUAGUUGCCAGCAUGUUUGGGUGGGCACUCUAGAGGAACUGCCGGUGACAAGCCGGAGGAAGGUGGGGAUGACGUCAAGUCCUCAUGGCCCUUAUGGGCUGGGCUACACACGUGCUACAAUGGCGGUGACAAUGGGAAGCCAUGUCGCAAGGCAGAGCCGAUCCCAAAAAGCCGUCUCAGUUCAGAUCGCAGCCUGCAACUCGGCUGCGUGAAG
rnacentral:rRNA from 1 species